UACGUAGGGCGCAGGCGUUGUCCGGAAUUAUUGGGCGUAAAGAGCUCGUAGGCGGUUUGCCACGUCGGGUGUGAAAGCCCGGGGCUUAACCCCGGGUCUGCAUUCGAUACGGGCAGACUGGAGUGUGGUAGGGGAGAUCGGAAUUCCUGGUGUAGCGGUGAAAUGCGCAGAUAUCAGGAGGAACACCGGUGGCGAAGGCGGAUCUCUGGGCCAUUACUGACGCUGAGGAGCGAAAGCGUGGGGAGCGAACAGG
rnacentral:rRNA from 1 species